AGCAGUAUGGUGUAAUGAUGCACACGGGAUUUUCUUAAAUGAGAACAGUAAUCUUAAUCCCGAGGUCCUUGUUCGAAUCAAGGUACUGCUC